UUCAUUCCGCUAAAAAUUUUCUCGUUGACAACAUUAAUCUCGAUUAUUCCUGCCGCAAACGACAUUUUUCAUUGCGAAUUCUUGAUCUUCCUUCGUGGUUGCAGUGAAGAGAUUUGUUAUGGUCCUUGAAAGCUGAUUGGAGAAGGAGAAAGUGAUGAAGAGCCACACAGUUGCCCUCAUACUCCUUGUUUUUGUUCUGAUUCAAUGUACUUUCAUCGAAUCUUUGUUUUGGCGUCGCCGUCGCCGUCGACAAAGCAGUUGCAACUACCCAAAAUCACAAUACGGAAAUAAUGGUCAACGAAGUGACUAUUUUUAUGGCACAACAAGUCUCUUUAAAGGCAGAAAACGGUUUUGGGGCAAAUGGAAACUUCGCCAUAGCAUGAUCCUGUUCCGUGGAAAGAUCUUUGAGUGGGGUUUGGGAAGUCCGAAAACCUACAAAAUGGAUCGGAGCCCAAGUCAAUGUGGAAUACGUUGGAGUAAGCGUAGUAAAGGCACGAGCAAAUGCCGCUUGAGCGAUGCAGAGACCUGGACCCGAAAUUAUCGUCUACGCUACGGCAGGUACAGGCUGUUCAGCAACAACUGUCAUUACUUCGUUGACCGAUUCAAGAAAUACCUGAAAACCGAUUGUGGACGUUGAGGAUAAUGCAAAUAAGAACUUUUCUUUGAUAAUGAUCUGGACUUUUCUUAGAACUUGAUGUGAUACAUAUAUUGAUUAUUGGGCAAUAGUAUUAGCAAACAUAAACCUGCAUGGGACUUGUAGUAUUUGAAAGAUUUUUUUGCAAUCGCAAAAUAUCCCAUUAAUUAGCAAUAAAAAGGCGAUUUCAGUUU
rnacentral:lncRNA from 1 species